GACGAACGCUGGCGGCGUGCCUAAUACAUGCAAGUAGAACGCUGAAGGAGGAGCUUGCUUCUCUGGAUGAGUUGCGAACGGGUGAGUAACGCGUAGGUAACCUGCCUGGUAGCGGGGGAUAACUAUUGGAAACGAUAGCUAAUACCGCAUAAGAGUAGAUGUUGCAUGACAUUUGCUUAAAAGGUGCAAUUGCAUCACUACCAGAUGGACCUGCGUUGUAUUAGCUAGUUGGUGAGGUAACGGCUCACCAAGGCAACGAUACAUAGCCGACCUGAGAGGGUGAUCGGCCACACUGGGACUGAGACACGGCCCAGACUCCUACGGGAGGCAGCAGUAGGGAAUCUUCGGCAAUGGACGGAAGUCUGACCGAGCAACGCCGCGUGAGUGAAGAAGGGUUUCGGAUCGUAAAAGCUCUGUUGUAAAGAGAAAGUACGGAGUGUG
rnacentral:rRNA from 1 species